CCUACGGGAGGCAGCAGUGUGGAAUAUUGGUCAAUGGGCGUGAGUCUGAACCAGCCAAGUAGCGUGAAGGAUGACUGCCCUAUGGGUUGUAAACCUCUUUUAUAAAGGAAUAAAACGCGGCACGUGUGCCUUUUUGCAUGUACUUUAUGAAUAAGGAUCGGCUAACUCCGUGCCAGCAGCCGCGGUAAUACGGAGGAUCCGAGCGUUAUCCGGAUUUAUUGGGUUUAAAGGGAGCGUAGGUGGGUUGUUAAGUCAGUUGUGAAAGUUUGGGGCUCAACCGUAAAAUUGCAAGUGAUACUGGGAGGCUUGAGUACAGUUGAGGUAGGCGGAAUGCGUGGUGUAGCGGUGAAAUGCUUAGAUAUCACGAAGAACCCCGAUUGCGAAGGCAGCUUACUAAGCUGUGACUGACGUUGAUGCACGAAAGUGUGGGUAUCAAACAGGAUUAGAUACCCUUGUAGUC
rnacentral:rRNA from 1 species